rnacentral:pre_miRNA from 1 species
UGAUGAUGAUGGUGAUGAUGAUGGUGGUGAUGAUGAUGGUGAUGAUGAUGAUGAUCAUAAUCAUCAUCAUCAUCACCAUCAUUAAGAACAACAACG